rnacentral:rRNA from 1 species
AGUGAACGCUGGCGGUAGGCCUAACACAUGCAAGUCGAACGGCAGCACAGUAAGAGCUUGCUCUUACGGGUGGCGAGUGGCGGACGGGUGAGGAAUACAUCGGAAUCUACUUUUUCGUGGGGGAUAACGUAGGGAAACUUACGCUAAUACCGCAUACGACCUACGGGUGAAAGCAGGGGAUCUUCGGACCUUGCGCGAUUGAAUUAGCCGAUGUCGGAUUAGCUAGUUGGCGGGGUAAAGGCCCACCAAGGCGACGAUCCGUAGCUGGUCUGAGAGGAUGAUCAGCCACACUGGAACUGAGACACGGUCCAGACUCCUACGGGAGGCAGCAGUGGGGAAUAUUGGACAAUGGGCGCAAGCCUGAUCCAGCCAUACCGCGUGGGUGAAGAAGGCCUUCGGGUUGUAAAGCCCUUUUGUUGGGAAAGAAAAGCAGCAGGUUAAUACCCCGCUGUUCUGACGGUACCCAAAGAUUAAGCACCGGCUAACUUCGUG